rnacentral:lncRNA from 1 species
AAACUCCCUAUUUUGUUAUGUCACAAAGGAAGCUAAAGGUAUGCCACACUAAGAGGAAGGGACAGGAAGAGGGAGGGAAGCCAACAGGCUGAAAGGUGGGGACAGGAGAGGAGAGGAGAGGUGUCAAGUUUAUAUAUAUACAGCAAACAUUUUCCCUGAAAAUGUCCAAAAGAAAGCAAGCAAACAAUGGGUUCUGAAAAACUAACUAAAAUCUAAACACAUUUGUAACUUAAAGCCACCAAUAUGUUGAAAUACUUUAGAAAUACUGCAAAAUGUAGAUUCUGUGACUGGUUAAGGUGGCAUAAGAUCUGUGAAAACUGUAAGAAAGAGUUUCUAAAGAGCAAAAGAACCAGGUACCAAUCACUCAGGGCAAGUAGGAGAAGAUGUCUAAUAAGAAGACUACUUCUAGAACAAGGAGGAGGAGGAGAAACAUAAGCAUGAGGAAGACAGCUAUUGUGCAACAAUUUAGGAAAGAACAAGAAGGAAGGCUCUUUGGAACCACAUGAGCAAGGUUUGCGGCCACUGGUCAUUCCCUCAGUAAACUUCAAGCAGCAAAUUUCUAUUGUGAUUUUAUUAUAAGUGUUAUUUCUUGAUAUCUCUAGUUAUUCUUGCAGAAUUUUGAUUGUAGGAUUGACUAGUUAGAAUCCUUGAGCUCAGGAAAGUAAUCAAUCAUACACAAUUAUUUUUAAGGUGAUGCAGCACUUAUAUACAAUACUGUAUGCCCCUUUUUCUAAUUCCU